rnacentral:piRNA from 1 species
UGCAUAAGAGCAGGUUUGUUGGUAUU